GGUUCUCUACUCAUUUGUUCAUGUCACUUGCUAAUCAUUUUUGUCCCAAUGUCACUAUGGUUAAACCUAUGUUUAACACUUACUUGUCAAUGCCAAUCUAUCUCUCUAUUGUCAAUGUCAUAGGUAUUUACCAUUGCCAAGACCAAGUCUCACAAUCAUGCAAUCUCUAGGGUUCAACAAUACAUGUCCAUCGUGGUUCCAUAUCUUUCUACUUUCCAAUACAUUAGAAAAAACAUAAUGAAAUAACCAAAGUUCACAUGUAAAUUAAUCCUAAUAUGCAUGAGUGACUAUAAAACCAUAUGUUCAAAAUAGAGAAAUAGACAUAGAAGGGAAUCCAACGAUUCCGGCGUGCACCCCCCACCUUGUGAGGUGGUAGAAGACGAACGCGACAAUCUCCCGAACUCUAUGAACGAUGAUCCGCGCCCUACAACCC
rnacentral:lncRNA from 1 species